rnacentral:rRNA from 1 species
UACGUAGGGUGCAAGCGUUAUCCGGAAUCACUGGGCGUAAAGCGUGCGUAGGUGGCGCGUUAAGUGAGAUGUUAAAUCGUGUGGCUCAACCAUAUCGAUGCGUCUCAUACUGGCGUGCUAGAGGACAGCAGAGGCAAGUGGAAUUACGAGUGUAGCAGUGAAAUGCGUAGAGAUUCGUAGGAACACCAAUGGCGAAGGCAGCUUGCUGGGCUACUCCUGACACUGAGGUACGAAAGCGUGGGGAGCGAACAGG